GUCAGGAAAUAUAUAGAAAGCAUAUAUAUAUAUAUAUUUUUUUUUUAUCUGAUAUUUAAAAAUCUAAAAAUAUAGAUCUAUAAAAGUCCCACACGGAAAUGCACUUCGGGGUUUCCAACGGCCGGUACAAGUCCAGCCAACUACCGGGACGAGGACGGGGUCCUCCCCCACUUUCCUCUUACAGCACCCAGCAAGAUGCCCCCCGAACUUUCAAUCUACGGGCUUUUUCUCCUCAGAGAGGUAAAGAGAGGCUUGGGGGGGCAGGAGGGCUGAGGUGUUAGAAAGCUGCUUCCCAAAAAUUCUUUCCACACGGUCGCUCUCCGAAGAGAAAAGCUCCCACUGCCUCCAAAUCUUUCCUCGGCAGCCACUUUUGUGUCCUUCGAGGGAGGGAGAACGAAAAGGGGGGAAAAAGAACGCGCUGGGAGAAAGGUGAGGAAGUGACAAAGGAAGGCAUAAAAAGGGAGUAGGUAUUGCGUUCAAGUUUCGGGGUCCCACUGGUCUGCAGAGAGCGAUCCCCUCAGGGGCCGGGACUCGGGCUCCGUUCCAGUCAGGCUCGGAACCGAAGCUGCCGCAGCCUCGGGAUGGGGGCCCGUCGGAAAGUCCAGCUAGUUCUGCCCGGCUGGCCGCUCCCGCUGGGCUGCAAGCAAGCCCGCCUGUGCCGGCUCCCCUCACGCUCUGCCCUGACUCCAGCCACUAGAGUUUCAUUUUAACGGCGCGGAGGGGGACACCCUCCCCCGCCUCACGCUCCCCCGCUGAGGCGCCACCCAACCGCACCCGGCAGGGGGGACAGGCAACAUAACUACUGUUCCUCCCCUCUAUUCCGACUCGAAGUACUGGGGAUUCCAUCAGGUGCCUGAGAAAUUGUACAGAAAACCGCCCUUCAUCUCGACUUUCAACUCUCCCCAACGAUCUCUGGGCUUCGGCUUCUUAAUCAUCGAUCCUCUCUUCCCCCCAGCCUCAAUCAAAAUGGUACAGUCCGGGCGCUGGCCGCACGCCAGGAGUCAGUGCCGGGAGCACGCGAGCCAGGCCGGGGGGAAGCUGCGAGAGAAAAGGAGGGGGUAGAAAGAAACGAUAAGGUGCGUGGUGAUUGGCUGAGCCGGGUUGCCGGAGCCCGGAGCCUGCGUCUUUUGUCUGCCUUGCUCCAGCGAAGGAGCGGGAGACGGCUGCGCGCCCCAAGUACGCCAAUCAGGAUCCAGCCGGCGCUGGCCGAAUGGUAUUCCUUUACUUGCUUUUGCAAUUUUUUACCUCUCUUGUACAUCCCAAACUAUAUGAUGGGGAUUAAGGAGUGCGCUUGUGGUGAUGUAGGUAAGUGUUGA
rnacentral:lncRNA from 1 species